CCCUAGCCGUGGUAGUAGUGGAAAUCCUCGAGCGUAGUUGCCCAUUUUUUCUCGCUUAUAAAAGAGCGACUAAAAGAAGCUCCUUUUAUAAGGAUAGAAAAAAAGGCAAAUAAGCGAGAGAUUGAAACGGAUAACGCGAAGAGGC
rnacentral:sRNA from 1 species